rnacentral:rRNA from 1 species
AUUGAACGCUGGCGGCAGGCCUAACACAUGCAAGUCGAGCGGAUGAAGGGAGCUUGCUCCUGGAUUCAGCGGCGGACGGGUGAGUAAUGCCUAGGAAUCUGCCUGGUAGUGGGGGAUAACGUCCGGAAACGGGCGCUAAUACCGCAUACGUACUGAGGGAGAAAGUGGGGGAUCUUCGGGCCUCACGCUAUCAGAUGAGCCUAGGUCGGAUUAGCUAGUUGGUGGGGUAAAGGCCUACCAAGGCGACGAUCCGUAACUGGUCUGAGAGGAUGAUCAGUCACACUGGAACUGAGACACGGUCCAGACUCCUACGGGAGGCAGCAGUGGGGAAUAUUGGACAAUGGGCGAAAGCCUGAUCCAGCCAUGCCGCGUGUGUGAAGAAGGUCUUCGGAUUGUAAAGCACUUUAAGUUGGGAGGAAGGGCAGUAAGUUAAUACCUUGCUGUUUUGACGUUACCAACAGAAUAAGCACCGGCUAACUUCGUG